rnacentral:rRNA from 1 species
AGUUUGUUGUGUUUUAUAACAAAUAGUUUCUGCCCGGUGUUAUUUUGUAAUAAACGGCCGCGGUAGCCUGACCGUGCGAAGGUAGCGUAAUCAUUUGCUCUUUAAUUAAGGGCCUGUAUGAAAGAAAGUUUGAGAUUUUUUCUGUCUUUUUCUAAGGUUAAAAUUUGCUGUUUUUGUGAGGAAGCAAAAUUUUGUUAAAAAGACAAGAAGACCCUUUUAAGCUUUAUUCUUUAUUAGUUGCCUUCUUUGUUUCUUCGUUUUGCUGUAAAAUAUUGUGGUUGGCGUCUUUAAGGUUUUGGUUGGGGUGACCGAAGAAGAGAAAAUCUUCUUUGUUUUUUUAAGCUGUGGGCUGAAAAGUGACCCAAUAUUUUUUGGUUGAAAAAACUAGUUACUAAAGGGAUAACAGCGUAAUCUUUUCAGAGAGUUCAUAUCGAAGAAAGGGAUUGCGACCUCGAUGUUGACUUAUUAUGUCCUUUAAAGGUGUAGGGGCCUAAAGGGUUGGUCUGUUCGACCAUUAAAAUAGU